rnacentral:rRNA from 1 species
AGUGAACGCUGGCGGUAGGCCUAACACAUGCAAGUCGAACGGCAGCACAGUAAGAGCUUGCUCUUACGGGUGGCGAGUGGCGGACGGGUGAGGAAUACAUCGGAAUCUACUUUUUCGUGGGGGAUAACGUAGGGAAACUUACGCUAAUACCGCAUACGACCUACGGGUGAAAGCAGGGGAUCUUCGGACCUUGCGCGAUUGAAUGAGCCGAUGUCGGAUUAGCUAGUUGGCGGGGUAAGGGCCCACCAAGGCGACGAUCCGUAGCUGGUCUGAGAGGAUGAUCAGCCACACUGGAACUGAGACACGGUCCAGACUCCUACGGGAGGCAGCAGUGGGGAAUAUUGGACAAUGGGCGCAAGCCUGAUCCAGCAAUACCGCGUGGGUGAAGAAGGCCUUCGGGUUGUAAAGCCCUUUUGUUGGGAAAGAAAAGCAGCAGGUUAAUACCCCGCUGUUCUGACGGUACCCAAAGAAUAAGCACCGGCUAACUUCGUG